GCCAGUGUGGCAUCAUGGUUUGAAUGUUAGACUAUGAAUCUGGAGACCAGGGUUCAAUUCCCAGCUUGGCCA